UCUCUAUAUAAAGGCGAAGAACGGAGGAACACAGAGAGGUUUGCGCGCGAAAGUUUGGCGUUCCUAAAGUUGCUCUGACGAGGAGAAGGUUGAUAUUAGGGUUCGGAAUUAUCGGUGCCUCACUAUGUUGUUUGCAAACUCAGACUUUGAUGAGUUGCUGCAUUACAUCUUUGAAGAAGAUCCCGUGUCAGCGUUGCUACCUGAACAGUAUUUUUAGGUAAGUAUUUUGACGAUUUUUCCUCCGUUAUACUUCUACUUCUAUUA